UAUCUUUGCAUGUUCAAAGUCAGAGAGGACAACGACUAUGGAGACAGGGGACUGGAAAUGUUGAAGGUGAAAUUGGAAAAUAUGGCAACGUCGUGUACUUCACGUUAGGUUGCUUUUCUCCCAGAAUCCAAGGAGGGACAGGGAUAAUUGACAGAUGCCAACCUUCAGUUCAAAGAAAGCUGCCAAAGCUUUCUGCCAUGUCCAGCUAAAAUUUUGCUUUGUUUGGAGAACACUUUCCUUGGAAUAAGAAGUUGAGAAAGAAUGCAGGGUUUCUGGAAUACCAUUACUGGAAUUGGUUGCGGUAUAGCUGAAAGACAUCUGGGCACAGAGUCCAAGUUGCCUAGACUGCUGACAUUUUCAGGGCAACUACACCUAAAACGAGUUUCAGCAUUUCAAAUAGGUC